rnacentral:lncRNA from 1 species
ACACACCGGUAAUAGAACCAGUUAUACCAUUAACCAGUGAAACACCACCUGUAUAGAACCAGUUAUACCAUUAGACCAGGUGAACACACCUGUAUAGAACCAGUUAUACCACUAGACCGGUGAACACACCUGUAUAGAACCAGUUAUACCACUAGACCAGGUGAACACACCUGUAUAGAACCAGUUAUACCACUAGACCAGGUGAACACACACCUGUAUAGAACCAGUUAUAACCAUAGACCAGGUGAACACACUGUAUAGAACCAUUU